AAAGUGAGGAAUAAGCCACCGAAAGGUGGUCUAAUACUUCAUAAUAUCCAUCUCGUAUGGAUUAAAGCUUUAUGCGCUUUGGGAGGGGCCUGCGUAACAUUAGCUUGUUGGUGAGGUAAAAGCUCACCAAGGCUUCGAUGUUUAACUGGUUUGAGAGGAUGACCAGUCACACUGGGACUGAGAUACGGCCCAGACUCCUACGGGAGGCAGCAGUAAGGAAUCUUCCACAAUGGGGGCAACCCUGAUGGAGCAAUACCGCGUGCAGGAUGAAGCGUUUCGGCGUGUAAACUGCUUUUAUCACCGAAGAUUAUGACUGUAGGUGAAGAAUAAGGACCGGCUAACUACGUG
rnacentral:rRNA from 1 species